rnacentral:rRNA from 1 species
UACGUAGGGUGCGAGCGUUAAUCGGAAUUACUGGGCGUAAAGCGUGCGCAGGCGGUUUUGUAAGCCGGAUGUGAAAUCCCCGGGCUUAACCUGGGAAUGGCAUUCGGGACUGCAAGGCUGGAGUGCGGCAGAGGGAGACUGGAAUUCCUGGUGUAGCAGUGAAAUGCGUAGAUAUCAGGAGGAACACCGAUGGCGAAGGCAGGUCUCUGGGCUGACACUGACGCUCAUGCACGAAAGCGUGGGGAGCAAACAGG